rnacentral:rRNA from 1 species
ACCGGCGCACGGGUGAGUAACACGUAUCCAACCUUCCGUUUACUCAGGGAUAGCCUUUCGAAAGAAAGAUUAAUACCUGAUAGUAUGGUGAGAUUGCAUGAUAGCACCAUUAAAGAUUUAUUGGUAAACGAUGGGGAUGCGUUCCAUUAGGUAGUAGGCGGGGUAACGGCCCACCUAGCCGACGAUGGAUAGGGGUUCUGAGAGGAAGGUCCCCCACAUUGGAACUGAGACACGGUCCAAACUCCUACGGGAGGCAGCAGUGAGGAAUAUUGGUCAAUGGGCGAGAGCCUGAACCAGCCAAGUAGCGUGAAGGAUGAAGGUCCUACGGAUUGUAAACUUCUUUUAUACGGGAAUAAAGUUUCCUACGUGUAGGAUUUUGUAUGUACCGUAUGAAUAAGCAUCGGCUAACUCCGUGCCAGCAGCCGCGGUAAUACGGAGGAUGCGAGCGUUAUCCGGAUUUAUUGGGUUUAAAGGGAGCGCAGACGGGAGAUUAAGUCAGUUGUGAAAGUUUGCGGCUCAACCGUAAAAUUGCAGUUGAUACUGGUUUCCUUGAGUGCAGUUGAGGCAGGCGGAAUUCGUGGUGUAGCGGUGAAAUGCUUAGAUAUCACGAAGAACCCCGAUUGCGAAGGCAGCUUGCUAAACUGUAACUGACGUUCAUGCUCG